rnacentral:ncRNA from 1 species
CAAAGAUUUGGUCCUAGUCUUAUAAUUAAUUGGAGGUAAGAUUACACAUGCAAAUAUCCAUAUACCAGUGUAAAAUCCCUUAGAUAAAACAAAAAUUUAAGGAGAAGGUAUCAAGCACAUAAAAAUAGCUCAAGACAUCUUGCCUAGCCACACCCCCACGGGACUCAGCAGUGAUAAAUAUUAAGCAAUAAACGAAAGUUUGACUUAGCUAUACCUCUAAGGGUUGGUAAAUUUCGUGCCAGCCACCGCGGUCAUACGAUUAACCCAAACUAAUUAUUCUCGGCGUAAAACGUGUUUACUAAACAUACAUGAACAAUAGAAUUAAAAUCCAACUUAUAUGUGAAAAUUCAUUGUUAGGACCUAAAUUCAAUAACGAAAGUAAUUCUAAUGUCUUACAACACACGAUAGCCAAGACCCAAACUGGGAUUAGAUACCCCACUAUGCUUGGCCCUAAACCUAAAUAAUUUGCCAACAAAAUUAUUUGCCAGAGGACUACUGGCCACCGCUUAAAACUCAAAGGACUUGGCGGUACUUUAUAUCCACCUAGAGGAGCCUGUUCUAUAAUCGAUAAACCCCGCUCUACCUUACCAUCCCUUGCUAAUACAGCCUAUAUACCGCCAUCUUCAGCAAACCCUAAAAAGGCAUUAAAGUAAGCACAAGCACAAACAUAAAAACGUUAGGUCAAGGUGUAGCCAAUGAGAUGGAAAGAAAUGGGCUACAUUUUCUUUUUAAAAGAACAUUAACGAUACCCUUUUUGAAACUAAAGGACUAAGGAGGAUUUAGUAGUAAAUUAAGAAUAGAGAGCUUAAUUGAAUAGAGCAAUGAAGUACGCACACACCGCCGUCACCCUCCUCAAAUUAAAUAAACCAAUAAACCAAUACUACAUAAUAUUCUCUAACUUAUUUAUGAGAGGAGACAAGUCGUAACAAGGUAAGCAUACUGGAAAGUGUGCUUGGAAUAAU